rnacentral:hammerhead_ribozyme from 1 species
AUUCAGCUGAUGAUUCCUAAAUAGGACGAAACGCACGUCCUGGAU